GUCAAACCUAAUUUCCUAAAAGCAAUAACUAUACCCCAGCCAUUUCCAAAUAUUUCCUUUCCCAAAACCAGAUCCUUAUGGGUCUCAAAAUCAGAAGCAUUCAACAAUGGCCUGAAAAACAUCACUAUCUAUUUUCUCCUCCUGACUCUUACUUCCCUUCACUACUACUUUCCCCUAUCAGUGAGUAGCCCAACAUUACCUUGAACCCGAUUUUCAUUGCACAGUACCAGAGAUACUCCCCCCAACCGUUCCCCUUCAAUCUUUCUCCACCGCCUCAUUUACGAAAUCUGGCACCCCGUCAAGAAGAUAAGUAUUCCUUUCCCCCUUAAUCCUUCAGGGGCCAAAAGAUGACCCACUUGGUUCCCCUACCUCUGAAUUUGCGAGAAUACAAAGUUUUUAAAUCUCUUCCUCAAAAAGUUUAGCUUUGAGAUGUAAGUAUUGAUGCAUGAAUCAUCUUUUCUAUUUGCCUGCAGUUUCUUUAUCACCGUAAGCGAAUCGCCUUUGAUCAUCGCAUCUUGAAACCCUAAAUCAAUGCCCAAUCAGACUACUUGGAGACAUGCAAUAGCUACUGCAGCGAACCCCAUUGAGAGUGAGCUUGAAAAGCCCCAUCAAAAUUUAUCUUUAUGAAAGCGUUCACUGGAGGCCUCCAUCUUACAAUCUCAACUCUGAUAAUCCUCAAAGUUUGGAUCAGACGCGACAUUUGGAGGGCUCAUCUCGGUUUUUUCUAAUUAAAGUAUUUUAAUUUUAUAAUUUCAUAAUUAAUUGAGACUGCAAAAUUUUUUAUACGAACUGUGGCAUGGGAUUGGACUUCAGGUUUUAUUUUGAUUUAGCAUGCAUGUAACAUGUUUAAAUAAUUGGAAAACCAAAAAAUUGAUCAUAUAAGUUUGAAACAUGGUUUUAAAUAACAAA